CUACUUGCAUUGCAGGGGCAAUACCAUGCUCAAGGAGGUGCUUUGCCCAAACUGAGACUCCAGCCAUUGGCCUUGGGCUGUGCUGACAUUUGUGAAAUCCCCAAAUGCAGGAAUCUUGACUGCAUAAUUUCUGAUAGUGGGGGACUGCGUUUGCUCUUUUCCCUU